rnacentral:rRNA from 1 species
UACGUAGGGUGCAAGCGUUAAUCGGAAUUACUGGGCGUAAAGCGUGCGCAGGCGGUUUUGUAAGUCUGUCGUGAAAGCCCCGGGCUCAACCUGGGAAUGGCGAUGGAGACUGCAAGGCUAGAGUGUGUCAGAGGGGGGGUAGAAUUCCACGUGUAGCAGUGAAAUGCGUAGAGAUGUGGAGGAACACCGAUGGCGAAGGCAGCCCCCUGGGAUAACACUGACGCUCAUGCACGAAAGCGUGGGGAGCAAACAGG